GACGUAGGGCGCGAGCGUUGUCCGGAUUUAUUGGGCGUAAAGAGCUCGUAGGCGGUCUGUCGCGUCGGAUGUGAAAACUCGGGGCUCAACCCCGGGCCCGCAUUCGAUACGGGCAGACUAGAGUACGGCAGGGGAGACUGGAAUUCCUGGUGUAGCGGUGAAAUGCGCAGAUAUCAGGAGGAACACCGGUGGCGAAGGCGGGUCUCUGGGCCGAAACUGACGCUGAGGAGCGAAAGCGUGGGGAGCAAACAGG
rnacentral:rRNA from 1 species